rnacentral:tRNA from 1 species
AAUUAGAAAAAAGCUCAGUUUCGACCUGAUCAAAGUGAUUUUUUCACUCUAAUU